rnacentral:rRNA from 1 species
GUCAGCGGCGGACGGGUGAGUAACACGUGGGUAACCUGCCUGUAAGACUGGGAUAACUCCGGGAAACCGGGGCUAAUACCGGAUGCUUGAUUGAACCGCAUGGUUCAAUUAUAAAAGGUGGCUUUUAGCUACCACUUACAGAUGGACCCGCGGCGCAUUAGCUAGUUGGUGAGGUAACGGCUCACCAAGGCAACGAUGCGUAGCCGACCUGAGAGGGUGAUCGGCCACACUGGGACUGAGACACGGCCCAGACUCCUACGGGAGGCAGCAGUAGGGAAUCUUCCGCAAUGGACGAAAGUCUGACGGAGCAACGCCGCGUGAGUGAUGAAGGUUUUCGGAUCGUAAAACUCUGUUGUUAGGGAAGAACAAGUACCGUUCGAAUAGGGCGGUACCUUGACGGUACCUAACCAGAAAGCCACGGCUAACUACGUGCCAGCAGCCGCGGUAAUACGUAGGUGGCAAGCGUUGUCCGGAAUUAUUGGGCGUAAAGCGCGCGCAGGCGGUUUCUUAAGUCUGAUGUGAAAGCCCCCGGCUCAACCGGGGAGGGUCAUUGGAAACUGGGGAACUUGAGUGCAGAAGAGGAGAGUGGAAUUCCACGUGUAGCGGUGAAAUGCGUAGAGAUGUGGAGGAACACCAGUGGCGAAGGCGACUCUCUGGUCUGUAACUGACGCUGAGGCGCGAAAGCGUGGGGAGCGAACAGGAUUAGAUACCCUGGUAGUCCACGCCGUAAACGAUGAGUGCUAAGUGUUAGAGGGUUUCCGCCCUUUAGUGCUGCAGCAAACGCAUUAAGCACUCCGCCUGGGGAGUACGGUCGCAAGACUGAAACUCAAAGGAAUUGACGGGGGCCCGCACAAGCGGUGGAGCAUGUGGUUUAAUUCGAAGCAACGCGAAGAACCUUACCAGGUCUUGACAUCCUCUGACAACCCUAGAGAUAGGGCUUCCCCUUCGGGGGCAGAGUGACAGGUGGUGCAUGGUUGUCGUCAGCUCGUGUCGUGAGAUGUUGGGUUAAGUCCCGCAACGAGCGCAACCCUUGAUCUUAGUUGCCAGCAUUCAGUUGGGCACUCUAAGGUGACUGCCGGUGACAAACCGGAGGAAGGUGGGGAUGACGUCAAAUCAUCAUGCCCCUUAUGACCUGGGCUACACACGUGCUACAAUGGGCAGAACAAAGGGCAGCGAAGCCGCGAGGCUAAGCCAAUCCCACAAAUCUGUUCUCAGUUCGGAUCGCAGUCUGCAACUCGACUGCGUGAAGCUGGAAUCGCUAGUAAUCGCGGAUCAGCAUGCCGCGGUG